AGCAGCCGCGGUAAUUCCAGCUCCAAUAGCGUAUAUUAAAGUUGUUGCAGUUAAAAAGCUCGUAGUUGAAUUUCGGGACCAAUAUGUCGGUCGUGCCUCGGUACGUACUGGUGUCAUUGGUUUCUCCCUUCUGAGGAUCCUUGAUGUCAUUAAUUUGGUGUCUUGGGGAAUCAGGACUGUUACCUUGAAAAAAUUAGAGUGUUUAAAGCAGGCAUACGCUUGAAUACAUUAGCAUGGAAUAAUGAAAUAGGACGUUCGAUUCUAUUUUGUUGGUUUCUAGGAUCGACGUAAUGAUUAAUAGGGAUAGUUGGGGGCAUUAGUAUUCAAUUGUCAGAGGUGAAAUUCUCGGAUUUAUUGAAGACUAACUACUGCGAAAGCAUUUGCCAAGGAUGUUUUCAUUAAUCAAGAACGAAAGUUAGGGGAUCGAAGACGAUCAGAUACCGUCGUAGUCUUAACCAUAAACUAUGCCGACUAGGGAUCGGAUGAUGUUAAUUUUUAAUGACUCAUUCGGCGCCUUAAC
rnacentral:rRNA from 1 species